UACGGGGGGGGCAAGCGUUGUUCGGAAUUACUGGGCGUAAAGGGCGCGUAGGCGGUCCGCUAAGUUGGAUGUGAAAACUCUGGGCUUAACCCAGAGCCUGCAUCCAAAACUGGCAAACUUGAGUACUGGAGGGGAAAGCGGAAUUCCUGGUGUAGCAGUGAAAUGCGUAGAGAUCGGGAGGAACAUCAGUUGCGAAGGCGGCUCUCUGGACCAGCACUGACACUGAGGCACGAAAGCGUGGGGAGCAAACAGG
rnacentral:rRNA from 1 species